GACAGAGGGUGCAAACGUUGUUCGGAAUUACUGGGCGUAAAGCGCGUGUAGGCGGCUAAGUAAGUCGGGCGUGAAAUCCCACGGCUCAACCGUGGAAGUGCACUCGAAACUGCAUAGCUAGAGUCCUGGAGAGGAAGGUGGAAUGCUUGGUGUAGAGGUGAAAUUCGUAGAUAUCAAGCGGAACACCGGUGGCGAAGGCGGCCUUGACUGGACCAGUGACGUAG
rnacentral:rRNA from 1 species